ACUUUGCAAAUACUGGGGCUACUUUUCACACUGGCCAAGUCAGUUUAUGACAAAAACAUGAGGCAAUUAGCCAAUUCCACUGAUCCUGUGAAGGCUGCCCAAUUUGAGCCACCUGGACGUCAAAUGAUUGCCAUCAGAAAGAGACAACUUGAAGAAACCAACAAUGACUAUGAAACAGCUGACGGCGGCUACAUGACUCUGAACCCCAGGGCACCUACUGACGAUGAUAAAAACAUCUACCUGACUCUUCCUCCCAACGACCAUGUCAACAGGCUGUAUUGAUUGGGGUGUAGACUGAACUAUCCGGGGUCUGUUUCUUUUCGGUGAUGAAAGUCUUGAGAAGGUAGUAAUGGAUAAGAUGUGAAGGAGAGGAGAGAUGGAGAUUUGGAGUGUAGGCGGAAAUCCGAACGCCAGAAGAUCUGAAUGGAAUGUUCUGGAUUGAAGAAAGUGGGAAAUGGCCUCAAUUCACAAAGUCACAGCCUGAUAGAAACCAGUGUGACUUUACUGCCCAGUGAACCCAUCUCGUCCUCCAGCCUUUAGGAGGUAGGUUGGA
ensembl:lncRNA novel transcript, readthrough between FCGR2A and FCGR2C polymormphic pseudogene